GCCCAGACUCCUACGGGAGGCAGCAGUGGGGGAUAUUGCACAAUGGGGGGAACCCUGAUGCAGCGACGCCGCGUGAGUGAAGAAGUCUUUCGGUAUGUAAAGCUCUAUCAGCAGGGAAGAAAAUGACGGUACCUGACUAAGAAGCCCCGGCUAACUACGUGCCAGCAGCCGCGGUAAUACGUAGGGGGCAAGCGUUAUCCGGAUUUACUGGGUGUAAAGGGAGCGUAGACGGCAAUGCAAGUCUGGAGUGAAAGCCCAAGGCCCAACCAUGGGACUGCUCUGGAAACUGUGGAGCUUGGGUGCGGGAGGGGCAGGCGGAAUUCCUAGUGUAGCGGUGAAAUGCGUAGAUAUUAGGAGGAACACCGGCGGCGAAGGCGGCCUGCUGGACCGUAACUGACGUUGAGGCCCGAAAGCGUGGGGAGCAAACAGGAUUAGAUACCCCAGUA
rnacentral:rRNA from 1 species